rnacentral:rRNA from 1 species
CCUACGGGUGGCAGCAGUGGGGAAUAUUGGGCAAUGGGCGCAAGCCUGACCCAGCAACGCCGCGUGAAGGAAGAAGGCCCUCGGGUUGUAAACUUCUUUUAUCAAGGACGCAACAAAUGACGGUACUUGAUGAAUAAGCCACGGCGAACUACGUGCCAGCAGCAGCGGUAAUACGUCGGUGGCAAUCGGUAUCCGGAUUUACGGGGUGUAAAGGGCGUGUAGGCGGGACUGCAAGUCAGAUGUGAAAACCAUGGGCUCAACCCAUGGCCUGCAUUUGAAACUGGAGUUCUUGAGUGUUGGAGAGGCAGGCGGAAUGCGGGGUGUAGCGGUGAAAUGCGUAGAUAUACGGAGGAACACCAGUGGCGAAGGCGGCCUGCUGG